UCACUGGUGGUCUGGUGGUUAGGACUUGGCACUGUCACCGCUGUGGCCCAGGUUCAGUUCCUGGUCUGGGAA
rnacentral:tRNA from 1 species